rnacentral:rRNA from 1 species
CGCAACCCUUGUCCUUAGUUACCAGCACGGUUAUGGUGGGCACUCUAAGGAGACUGCCGGUGACAACCGGAGGAAGGUGGGGAUGACGUCAAGUCAUCAUGGCCCUUACGGCCUGGGCUACACACGUGCUACAAUGGUCGGUACAAAGGGUUGCCAAGCCGCGAGGUGGAGCUAAUCCCAUAAAACCGAAUCGUAGUCCGGAUCGCAGUCUGCAACUCGACUGCGUGAAGUCGGAAUCGCUAGUAAUCGUGAAUCAGAAUGUCACGGUGAAUACGUUCCCGGGCCUU